rnacentral:rRNA from 1 species
GAUGCGUUGGAUUAGCUAGCUGGCAGGGUAACGGCCUACCAGGGCGACGAUCCAUAGGGGUUCUGAGAGGAAGGUCCCCCACACUGGCACUGAGACACGGGCCAGACUCCUACGGGAGGCAGCAGUGAGGAAUAUUGGUCAAUGGGCGAGAGCCUGAACCAGCCAAGUAGCGUGCAGGACGACGGCCCUACGGGUUGUAAACUGCUUUUGCGGGAGAAUAAAGGUGGCCACGCGUGGCCAUUUGCAGGUAUCCCGUGAAUAAGGACCGGCUAAUUCCGUGCCAGCAGCCGCGGUAAUACGGAAGGUCCGGGCGUUAUCCGGAUUUAUUGGGUUUAAAGGGAGCGCAGGCGGAGGAUCAAGCCAGCCGUCAAAUAGCGGUGCUCAACACCGUCCAGCGGUUGGAACUGGUUCCCUUGAUUGCGGGAGAAGAAGGCGGAACUCGUGGUGUAGCGGUGAAAUGCAUAGAUAUCACGAAGAACUCCGAUUGCGAAGGCAGCCUUCCGGCCCGCCAAUGACGCUCAUGCUCGAAGGCGCGGGUAUCAAACAGGAUUAGAUACCCUGGUAGUCCGCGCAGUAAACGAUGAAUGCUCGGGAUUUGGCCCUUGUGGCUGAGUCCCCCAGCGAAAGCGUUAAGCAUUCCACCUGGGGAGUACGCCGGCAACGGUGAAACUCAAAGGAAUUGACGGGGGCCCGCACAAGCGGAGGAACAUGUGGUUUAAUUCGAUGAUACGCGAGGAACCUUACCCGGGCUUGAAAUGUACCUGGCAGCCGGCAGAGACGCCGGCCUCCUUCGGGCAGGUAUGUAGGUGCUGCAUGGUUGUCGUCAGCUCGUGCCGUGAGGUGUCGGCUCAAGUGCCAUAACGAGCGCAACCCCUUCCGCCGGUUACCAUCGGGUAACGCCGGGGACUCCGGCGGCACUGCCAUCGCAAGAUGCGAGGAAGGCGGGGAUGACGUCAAAUCAGCACGGCCCUUACGUCCGGGGCCACACACGUGUUACAAUGGGGGGCACAGAGAGCAGGUCGCCGGCGACGUCGGCCGAAUCAAUAAAUCCCCUCCCAGUUCGGACU